UGAGAGAAAGAAAGUAAGUGGGAAAAACGUGGAAACAAAUUUUGGAAUAUAUAUAUUUUUAUUUUUAAUUUAAAACUUAACUAACAAAUAAAUAAAAGCAAGGAAUUAACAAUUUAGUUAAUAUCUAACAAAACCAUUCAAAUUUAUUUAUUAUUACUAUUAAAAUAGAUUUCAAAACAAAAUAUUCAAUAUCCAACUUGUCAAAACCCCUUUCAAAAUUUAACUACCAAAAAUACAAAAAAAAAAAAAACAAUUCCCACAUUGCAUACACAUAGACUCAAACUCGAGACAAAAGAUAAGCUACCAAAAAGUUAGCUACUAAACCAACAGACUCAUUUUUCUCCUAAAGCGUAAAAAUAAAUUUAACAGUCCCACCGAACCAC
rnacentral:lncRNA from 1 species